AGAUAAGUGCUGAAAGCAUCUAAGCACGAAACUUGCCCCGAGAUGAGUUCUCCCUGAGACUAUAAGUCUCCUGAAGGAACGUUGAAGACGACGACGUUGAUAGGUCGGGUGUGUAAGCGUAGCGAUACGUUGAGCUAACCGGUACUAAUGAACCGUGAGGCUUAACCUUACAACGCCGAAG
rnacentral:rRNA from 5 species